GAUGAAGAACGUAGCGAAAUGCGAUAAGUAAUGUGAAUUGCAGAAUUCAGUGAAUCAUCGAAUCUUUGAACGCACAUUGCGCCCGCCAGUAUUCUGGCGGGCAUGCCUGUCUGAGCGUCAUUUCAACCCUCAGCCCCCGCUCGCGGGGCGCUGGCGUUGGGGAUCGGCCGUCCCCGCGGCGGCCGGCCCCGAAACACAGUGGCGGUCUCUCGCGGACUCCCCUGCGUAGUAGCACUACCUCGCAGAAGGGACGAGCGGGCUGACCACGCCGUAAAACCCCCCACUUCUCCAGGUUGACCUCAGAUCAGGUAGGAAUACCCGCUGAACUUAAGCAUAUCAAUAAGCGGAGGA
rnacentral:misc_RNA from 1 species